rnacentral:RNase_P_RNA from 1 species
GGAGUCGGCCAGAUGAUCGCGCCAGCCAUGGGCUGGUGAGGAAAGUCCGGGCUCCACAGGGCAGGGUGCCAGGUAACGCCUGGGCGGCGUGAGCCGACGGAAAGUGCCACAGAGAGCAGACCGCCGAUGGCCUGCCGGCGCCUGCCGGCACGGCACAGGCAAGGGUGAAAGGGUGCGGUAAGAGCGCACCGCGUCCGUGGUAACACGGGCGGCACGGCAAACCCCACCUGGAGCAAGACCAAAUAGGGGAGCGAGCGUGUGGCCCGCACGGCUCCCGGGUAGGUCGCUCGAGGCAUGCGGUGACGCAUGUCCCAGAUGAAUGGCUGUUCUCGACAGAACCCGGCUUACAGGCCGGCUCCCGGU